rnacentral:rRNA from 1 species
GCUAUGCCCGAUCUCGUCUGAUCUCGGAAGUUAAGCAGAGUCGGGCCUGGUUAGUACUUGGAUGGGAGACCGCCUGGGAAUACCAGGUGCGGUAAGCUU